UACAGAGGGUGCGAGCGUUAUCCGGAUUCACUGGGUUUAAAGGGAGCGUAGGUGGCUUUGUAAGUCAGUGGUGAAAUAUUGCGGCUCAACCGCAAAACUGCCAUUGAUACUGCUUAGCUUGAAUCACGUCGAGGUGGAUGGAAUAAUACAUGUAGCGGUGAAAAUGCUUAGAUAUGUAUUAGAACACCGAUUGCGAAGGCAGUUCACUAGGCGUGUAUUGACACUGAGGCUCGAAAGCGUGGGGAUCAAACAGG
rnacentral:rRNA from 1 species